GUCCACGCCCUAAACGAUGGAUACUCGACAUCAGCGAUACACUGUUGGUGUCUGAGCGAAAGCAUUAAGUAUCCCACCUGGGAAGUACGACCGCAAGGUUGAAACUCAAAGGAAUUGACGGGGGCUCACACAAGCGGUGGAGCAUGUGGCUUAAUUCGAGGCUACGCGAAGAACCUUAUCCUAGACUUGACAUGUGCGAAAGCGGUAGGAAGUACUUUGCGGAAACGUUAAGGGACGGUAUCCAAUCCGGAACCUA
rnacentral:rRNA from 1 species